rnacentral:lncRNA from 1 species
CACGCAAUAGAACCUCUUCUAGCUUACUGAGAGAGAGAGAGAGAGAGAGAGAGAGAGAGAGAGUAGUGAGAAGAAAGGUAAAGGAAGAAGUAAGUUAGUCGUACACGACGAACGAAGUAAACAACGAAGAAGUAACUACAACCGAAACGAAAGUAAGAAGGAGGAAGGNNNNNNNNNNNNNNNNNNNNNNNNNNNNNNNNNNNNNNNNUAACGUAACGUAACGUACGAGUAACGUAGUAACGUAACGAACGUAACGAACGUAACGUACGAACGUACGAGACGUACGUACGUAGACGACGUAGAGAAGAGAGAGAGAGAGAGAGAGAGAGAGAGAGAGAGAGAGAGUUGCAGAUAAAGGGAAAGAGAUAAUUGCUCAGCCAGAAAUACAGAGAUAUCCAACAAAGAUAAGAGAGAGGGAGAGAGCUCAAUAGGAUCUUUAGCUUAGAGACAUAGUUACAGAGAAACUGAAAGGGAUAACUGCUAAGCCAGAGAUAUUAGAGAUUAUUAGACAGAGAGAGAGAGAGAGAAAUAGGAUCCUUAUCUUCGAGAAAAAAAUUUUCAGAGAAAGGGAAAGAGACACUUAGCCAGAAAUACUGAGAUUAUUACAUAGAGAAGAGAGAGAGCAAUAUGAUCCUCAGCUCAGAGAGAGAGGGAGAGAUGAAGUUACAGUCAUUCAGGCAGAUAUACAAAAAGAAAUACAGAGCAGAGAGAGAGAGAGACACUUAGCUUAGAGAGAGAAAGCAACACUUGAUCAGAGAGAAAGUAACAGUUGACCAGCCAGACCUAGCUCAGAGUAAGAGAGAUGAAGUUACAGUAAAUCAGUCAGAUAUACAUAAAGAAAUAUAGAGCAGAGAGAGACAUAGCUUAGAGAGAUAAAGCUACCCUAGAUCAGCCAGACUUAAGCUUUUAGAGAGAGAGAGAGGAAGAAAUACUUGCAGCCAGAAAUUCAUGAAGAAAUGUAGAGAGAGAAAACCAGAUUUCUUAGGAGAGAGAAAGAGGCUUUGCGCUUAGAGAGAGAUGCGCAUGCAUUUGCCGAAAGGGGUUUUGAAAGCGUGAAACUCAC